rnacentral:rRNA from 1 species
UGGUGGGAUACUACCCUGGCUGUAUGACCAUUCUAACCCGCCACGCUUAGCGCGUGGGGAGACAGUGUCAGGUGGGCAGUUUGACUGGGGCGGUCGCCUCCUAAAGAGGAACGGAGGCGCCCAAAGGUUCCCUCAGAAUGGAUGGAAAUCAUUCGCAGAGGGUAAAGGCACAAGGGAGCUUGACUGCGAGACUGACAAGUCGAGCAGGGACGAAAGUCGGGCUUAGUGAUCCGGUG